rnacentral:piRNA from 1 species
UUAUUACAAGGGCCACACCUGGUCUG